CUCAAAAGGAGGGUGCUGCUGCUAGUGCUGAUAAGCUGGGAGUUGAGUUUCUUUGGGACUGUGGCUGUUUCUGCAGGCAGUCCUGCCCAGCUAAAGAGCUCUUCAGUCAAGCAUGAAGGGGUGUAACCAGAUUUGAAGGCUGAAGGCCUACGGUGGAUCUUUAACAGUGCAGGAGUGAACUCUUGAAACAAAUCCCCGUGAGCCACAGUGUGUGUCCUUUUGCCUUCAGUCUUCACUGCAGAGCUGUUUGCCUCUCUUCUAAAGAUUUGGGCAACAACUGGGAAACAACCUGCUGAAAUAUUUGAAAUGCUGCACUCUGCUUUAAAACACUUUCCAUCUCCAGCCUCGCUUAGAUGUCUUAUUACAUCCCUGACCUAUGAUCACAGCAAAGAUGAAACCUGCAACUCUCCUCGCUUCACAAGUGAAAAAGAAAUGAGGCCAGCAAGCUUGGUAACCACUGAAGGACAGAACAUUUGGAUUCUAUCUUGUGACCCCAAGUGCUGCGAAUAUCUGUGGCAUUUAUUGCCUUCAGACCCCUCUGCAAAUGCAUUCCAGAUUUACAUACUUAUUUCCCAGGGUAUUUCUGAGACUAUUACUUUGGUUUUGUUUACUUUCCAUGUGUGGAUUCCUGAAUUAAACAUGUGAAAAAUGCUCCAUCACAGCCAGAACUGCAAAGCUAUUGAGCUGCAGAAGAGCCUUCCUGGAAGGAGCUGCUCCACCAGAGCAACCCUCUGUACUCUGUCCAAGCUUUGCAAACCUGCCUUGGUCAGUGCCCAUCAAGAUCAAAGUCAAUGAUCCUCUCCGUGGUGUCAUAUCACAAUUAGCCACACAGCUGUAAUCAUCUUCGACCCUGAUAAGCCCCUUAGUAGGCAGUUUGCUCUCUGCUGGUGGGAGAUAAGAGAUGCUCACAUGGCUGUGAAAAACAUCCUCUGUUCUACACACACAACCAGUUCCACAGGCAAAGAAUGCUCCAAGCUUGAUGUUCUGCUCUUUCCCACAACCUUUCUCUCCAGUCUGAUUGCACAUUAGGAGCAAUUUGUUUCCUGAAAGAGUGGUCGGGGAUUGGAACAGGCUGCCCAGGGAAGUGGAGUCGCCAUCCCUGGAAAGGUGUUCAAGAAAUGUGGGCAUAGCACUUUGGGACAUGGUUUAGUGGUCACAAUGGUCUUAGGUGGAAGGUU